GGGGGAGGGGAGUCACGCCGCGCUGUGGUGAGGGCGGUGAGCCCUACUUACGUGCUUGAGCCACAGUAUACUCCUUUUCUACAUUUUGCUGCUGAUACUGCUGCUCAUGGUGCCUUGUGGCUGAUGGGAAAGCUGUAAGUUGGAAUUGUUGAACAACAGGCUCCUUCAGCUGCUUAGAGUGAGCACCUUACAUCGAAGUGAACUUCAGUGAUACCUGUCAAGGUCUUGGCUCAUCUCAUCAACAUCGAGGCAUACUUGGCUUUCUGAUCAGUUGAAAAAAUGGAACUUC